GAUGAACGCUAGCGACAGGCUUAACACUUUGGCAGACUGAGUGGCGGACGGGUGAGUAACGCGUGGGUAACCUGCCUUAUACAGGGGGAUAACAGUUGGAAACGACUGCUAAUACCGCAUAAGCGCACGGUAUCGCAUGAUACAGUGUGAAAAACUCCGGUGGUAUAAGAUGGACCCGCGUCUGAUUAGCUUGUUGGUGAGGUAACGGCCCACCAAGGCGACGAUCAGUAGCCGGCCUGAGAGGGUGAACGGCCACAUUGGGACUGAGACACGGCCCAAACUCCUACGGGAGGCAGCAGUGGGGAAUAUUGCACAAUGGGGGAAACCCUGAUGCAGCGACGCCGCGUGAGUGAUGAAGUAUUUCGGUAUGUAAAACUCUAUCAGCAGGGAAGAUAAUGACGGUACCUGACUAAGAAGCACCGGCUAAAUACGUG
rnacentral:rRNA from 1 species